ensembl:lncRNA
UUUAAUGUUAAUUGUACAAUACUGACUCGGUUUUACAAAAUCUUUCAUUGACAAUAGUUUCACUUUUUUUAUUGUUUGUUGGUUUGGCAAUGCCACUGUCAGCCUGAGAAAUAUGCUGAGAAGGAUUAUCACCACAGCAAGCAAGGUACUGAGAGUCAAACAGACAGGCCUGGAUGAGAUUUUUAAAGUCAGGGCCCUCCCCAAUGUACUAGGAGUCAAACAGACAGGCCUGGAUGAGAUCUUUAAGGUCAGGACCCUCCCCAAGGUACUUGGAGUCAAACAGACAGGCCUGGAUGAGAUCUUUAAGGUCAGGGCCCUCUGUAAAGGCUCACAAAAUCAUUUUAGACCCAAGCCACCCCCUGUACCUGGACUUUGAACUACUCCCCUCUGGGCGCAGGUAUAAGGCAACCCUCAGCAGGAAAAACAGAACUAGACAAUCAUUUGUGCCAGGUGUGAUAUCACUCCUAAAUAACUCAGGCUAAUGUUCCUAUCCACUCAGUAAGGCCAGCAGGCUACUGUUCCUAUCCACCCAGUAAGACCAGCAGGCUAAAGUUCCUAUCCACCCAGUAAGGCCAACAGGCUCAUGUUCCUAUCCACCCAGUAAGACCAGCAGGCUCGUGUUCCUAUCCACCCAGUAAGGCCAGCAGGCUCAUGUUCCUAUCCACCCAAUAAGACCAGCAGGCUCAUGUUCCUAUCCACCCAGUAAGACAUAAAGUCAGUACAGUAAAAACAGCAGGCUCAUGUUCCUAUCCACCCAGUAAGACAUAAAGUCAGUACAGUAAGACCAGCAGGCUCAUGUUCCUAUCCACCCAGUAAGACAUAAAGUCAGUACAGUAAGACCAGCAGGCUAAUGUUCCUAUCCACCCAAUAAGACCAGCAGGCUAAUGUUCCUAUCCACCCAAUAAGACAUAAAGUCAGUACAGUAAGACCAGCAGGCUAAUGUUCCUAUCCACCCAAUAAGACCAGCAGGCUAAUGUUCCUAUCCACCCAAUAAGACCAGCAG